GCCCGGCUGGCGCAAUGGUAGCGCGCAGGACUUCUACUUGAGAGGAAAGUUCUUGUGUUGGGGGCAAUCCUGAGGUUGUGGGUUCGAGUCCCACGUCGGGUG
rnacentral:tRNA from 1 species